rnacentral:rRNA from 1 species
AUUGAACGCUGGCGGCAUGCUUUACACAUGCAAGUCGAACGGUAACAGGCCUUCGGGUGCUGACGAGUGGCGAACGGGUGAGUAAUGCAUCGGAACGUGCCCAGAGGUGGGGGAUAACGCAGCGAAAGCUGUGCUAAUACCGCAUGUGAUCUGAGGAUGAAAGCGGGGGACCAAGCAGCAAUGUUUGGCCUCGCGCCUCUGGAGCGGCCGAUGUCAGAUUAGGUAGUUGGUGGGGUAAAGGCCUACCAAGCCGACGAUCUGUAGCUGGUCUGAGAGGACGACCAGCCACACUGGGACUGAGACACGGCCCAGACUCCUACGGGAGACAGCAGUGGGGAAUUUUGGACAAUGGGCGCAAGCCUGAUCCAGCAAUGCCGCGUGCGGGAAGAAGGCCUUCGGGUUGUAAACCGCUUUUGUACGGAACGAAAAGGCUCUGGCUAAUACCUGGGGCUGAUGACGGUACCGUAAGAAUAAGCACCGGCUAACUACGUG